CUGGUAGUCCACACAGUAAACGAUGAAUACUCGCUGUUUGCGAUAUACAGUAAGCGGCCAAGCGAAAGCAUUAAGUAUUCCACCUGGGGAGUACGCCGGCAACGGUGAAACUCAAAGGAAUUGACGGGGGCCCGCACAAGCGGAGGAACAUGUGGUUUAAUUCGAUGAUACGCGAGGAACCUUACCCGGGCUUAAAUUGCAAAUGAAUUAUGGGGAAACCCAUACGCCGCAAGGCAUUUGUGAAGGUGCUGCAUGGCUGUCGUCAGCUCGUGCCGUGAGGUGUCGGCUUAAGUGCCAUAACGAGCGCAACCCUUAUCUUCAGUUACUAACAGGUCAUGCUGAGGACUCUGGAGAGACUGCCGUCGUAAGAUGUGAGGAAGAUGGGGAUGACGUCAAAUCAGCACGGCCCUUACGUUCGGGGCUACACACGUGUUACAAUGGGGGGUACAGAAGGCCGCUACCUGGUGACAGGAUGCCAAUCCCAAAAACCUCUCUCAGUUCGGAUCGAAGUCUGCAACCCGACUUCGUGAAGCUGGAUUCGCUAGUAAUCGCGCAUCAGCCAUGGCGCGGUGAAUACGUUCCCGGGCCUUGUACACACCGCCCGUCAAGCCAUGAAAGCCGGGGGUACCUGAAGUACGUAACCGCAAGGAGCGUCCUAGGGUA
rnacentral:rRNA from 1 species